GACGAACGCUGGCGGCGUGUCUAAUACAUGCAGGUAGAACGCACAGUUUAUACCGUAGCUUGCUACACCAUAGACUGUGAGUUGCGAACGGGUGAGUAACGCGUAGCUAACCUGCCUGGUAGCGGGGGAUAACUAUUGGAAACGAUAGCUAAUACCGCAUAAUAUUAAUUAUUGCAUGAUAAUUAAUUGAAAGGUGCAAUUGCACCACUACCAGAUGGACCUGCGUUGUAUUAGCUAGUAGGUGAGGUAACGGCGCACCUAGGCGACGAUACAUAGCCGACCGGAGAGGGUGAUCGGCCACACUGGGACUGGGACACGGCCCAGACGCCUACGGGAGGCAGCAGGAGGGAAUCGUCGGCAAUGGGCGAAAGUCUGACCGAGCAACGCCGCGUGAGUGAAGAAGGGUUUCGGGUCGUAAAGCUCUGUUGUAAGAGAAGAACGGGUGUGAGAGUGGAAAGUUCACACUGUGACGGUAUCUUACCAGAAAGGGACGGCUAACUACGUG
rnacentral:rRNA from 1 species